AUCGGUUUAAGAAAUAGCCACUUGAAAGUGUAUGGGUUACAGAUAAAAAAAUGGAACAUUUUCAUGUUUCUUUUUUCCUUGUGAAGCUUUGUCUUUAGGAUUUUUAACUGUUAGAAUGAUGCGAGGGAAUAAUCUUUUGGGGACCACCUCAGGGGUGUUUGGUGUGUGGAAGGUUAUACUUGAAGUUGCAAAGAAACCUGAAAUAACUACCAGAAAAUAUGGAGUUAGUGCUUUACUUUGCUAUGUUAUGAAAGGAACCUCAUCAAGGCUCCAUUCUAAAGCAGAAAGAGUAUUGCGGUUAUUGAUGAGCAAUUCAGUACUUUGAGCUGGCGAUAAAUACACAGAUGGCAAGCCCUAUCUCUAUGCUAGAGAACUAUUGUUAUCGUCCUAUAUUUUUUGUUUUUUUUUUUUGUGUUUCAUUACUAUGACAUUUUUUUUUCUUAUUCUCUUGAUAUCUUUAAAUUUGUCAGUGAAUCUAUGCGACUGAUAUUGAAUUGUCAAUUCUUAUUA